rnacentral:tRNA from 1 species
GGGGGGUUAGCUCAUAGGCUAGAGCGGUUAUAUGACAUGUAAUAGGUAGUUGGUUCGAAUCCAACACUCCCUA